ensembl:misc_RNA
CUAUCAAGCCAUAGAAUCGCUGCUGUAUGCAUAGCAGGAGUGUAGGCCUCCCUACCGUGCACUACCAGUGUUCCUCAAUUCUGAUCUGGAGGGACCACACCUAGGGGUGAGAG